rnacentral:rRNA from 1 species
CUGGCUCAGGAUGAACGCUGGCGGCGUGCCUAACACAUGCAAGUCGAACGGGACUAUCAAGUGAUGUUUCGGACUGAACUUUUAGUUAGUGGCGGACGGGUGAGUAACGCGUGGACAACCUGCCUCUCACUGGGGGGAUAGCAGCUGGAAACGGCUGGUAAUACCGCAUGCGUUCAAUGUGCCGCAUGACACAUUGAAGAAAGGUUUAUCGGUGAGAGAUGGGUCCGCGUCUGAUUAGCCAGUUGGCGGGUAACGGCCACCAAAGCGACGAUCAGUAGCCGGCCUGAGAGGGCGGACGGCCACAUUGGGACUGAGACACGGCCCAGACUCCUACGGGAGGCAGCAGUGGGGGAUAUUGCACAAUGGGCGCAAGCCUGAUGCAGCGAACCGCCGCGUGAGUGAAGAAGUAUUUCGGUAUGUAAAGCUCUAUCAGCAGGGAAGAAAGGCCCGCAAGGGAGAUGACGGUACCUGACUAAGAAGCCCCGGCUAACUACGUGCCAGCCGCGGC